rnacentral:rRNA from 1 species
GUUGUUUAGUUGAAAAUCAAUUAAAUAAUUUUUGAUUUUGAGUAGUAUUGACUUCAUCAGCUUGCUGCUCUCUUUUCGGAAAUUAUUUAAUGCACUUUUCAGUUAACAAGUCAACAUCAAUUUCUUUUGUUGUAAAAAGGUAAGAGGAAGGUGGCUUACAUUUCGGUGUAAGUGUUUAUAGCCUUUUACCUCUGCAAUCGGAGAGAUUGAGGCCAGCAGCGUAGACUCUUCGGGGUUAGAUACGCUUGUGCUAAGCUAUAGCCUUGUAUAGACAACUUGUUGACUAUACUCAGUCAUGUAGCUUACUCGCUUGCAGUAUUUUACCUAC